rnacentral:lncRNA from 1 species
UGAUACCUCAGGACUUGAUGAUUCUAAUGUCCAGUCACCAAGGAAAAUGAUAUGAGCAGGUAUAUUACUGAGGAUAAAAGCUUUCAUGCAGAGAAAAAGAAAAGCGUAAGGGAGAAUGAAACAAGCAGACAUUCUAAAGUUUUCCUGGAAGCCUACAAGUAUUAUCACAUAUUGUCUACCAGAGGAGGACUUCUGAUGUUUGUUCGAAGAUUAAGCUUUCCUCUUCUCAUCUAGAAGAAAACAAAAGACUAUAGUGACAGCUUCAGAGCAUGAGGUUGGAAAAAUAGGAAUUAGACUUUUAAAUGCAAAGAUCUUAUGAUUUCUCAGAUGCAAAAUCAUAAAAGAGGCAUCAUAUACAACUACCUAGAGGCAUCAUGACUCUUCAUUACCAAAAGGUAAGUGCUUAAGGUGUUCAUAUGUCCCAUUUUUCAUAGCGAUCACAUCCCUUCUUCCUCAG